CCCGCCGUGAGACGUCAGAGCUGCCCCAGGGCGCUGCUCGCGGCCCCUCCUCUUCCCAUCUGGGCCCCUCCUCUUACCCUUCGGAGGCGCCACCUGGAGGCCGGCCCUCAUGAUUUAGCCUCCAGGGAGAAGUCGGUUGCCACAGUGGGUGUGUUAGGCCAGGUCAAGGUCAAGGGGACGGCCACGACCCGUUCAGCAAGUGACUUGGGCCGCCGCCCACUCGGCAAGGCCACAGCCGGGGCUUCCUGGAAAACCCCAGAUUCUCCCAUUCACAGCCAUGUGUCCGUGAUUCUGUUAUAAUGAGGGACCUUACGACUUAUCCGCCAGGCUGAAACCAUCUGAAGAGUGAGAGCAAGGACCAUACAAAACACUCUGAGACAACAGACAUGUGCCUGCUGCCGCCUGGGGUGUCUGAUUUCAUGUGUCACCCGGACGGAGCCGAGGGGUGCUGGGAGAGACGGGGAAACGGUACUCCUGGAGGCGUCUGGGUGGGUGUGUCUGGAAGAGAUCAGCAUCUGAGCUAGUAACCGAGUAAGACCAUCCUCCUCAGUGUGGGCGGCUUCAUCCAGUCCUCUGAGGUCCUGAGUAGGACCCACGGGUGGAGGAAGGGACAACGCGCUCUCUCUUCUUGAGCCGGGACGUCCGUCUCCUGCCCUCAGACGUCGGGGCCCCUGGUUCUCGGAAACUGCACUUGGACCAAGUCCCACCACAGGCUGUCCUGGUCCCCAGCUUGCAGAUGGCCGAUGGCGGGGGGCUUCUUGGCCUCUGUAACCCCCCCCCCGGCCACUUCCUAGAAUACACCUCCCCUUGUGCCCGUCUGUCCAUCCGUCUGUCCUGUUGGCUGUCUCUCUGGAGGACCCUGACGACCACACCCUCACUACAACCAGCGUAAGCUCAGCCCCACGGAUGGGGAAGUUGUUACCUCACGUCCUGGGGAACGAGAACCGUCUGGGGGCCCAGAUGUACUUCAGAAAACGUGGAACACUUGAGAGGCGCUCUCUCUGUGAGGAUGACGUGUUUUCUCCAAAAGACUAGUCUUUUUCCUUCUGGUCUGAUGAAAAGCUCAGUUCACAGAGUUUUGCUAUUUUUCCCAUGAGCUCUGCACUUUAUUUU